rnacentral:sRNA from 1 species
GCUGGGCACGGUGGCCCACACCUGUCAUCCCAGAGACUUGGGAGGUUGAGGCAGGAGGAUUGUGAGUUCAGAGCCAGCCUCAGCAACUUAGUGAGGCCCUAAGCAACUCAGCAAGACCCUGUCUCUA